AGUUUUCUGUAAACCCUAUCCCAUUAAACCAUUGUUAUUUUAACCAGAGAGCUAUUUAGGUGCUCUCUGUUUGUAUGUAUUUGUGAGGAAGGAGGAGACUGAAGCUGUGACCGACCUAGUAUGACUUUGUGCCUCUUUGUAGACUGUUUUUUCUCAUUUCGACAUCUGGGCUUUUCUUUCUCAAUGGAGAUUCCUGAAGACAGCUAAGACAUGAGCUUCCUUGCCACUGGCUGCCUGCAAGGUGGUUGGCACUGGGGUACUCAGACUGUAGUUCUAAACAAAGUGAUAUAAAAACUUUUUUUCCCAACCUGAAUUAUGCAAGGAGAAGAACAAGUAGUCCUUUCCAUCAGUGGAAACACAGCUGAAGGGAACGUAGGGCAGAGAGAAAAUGGACAGUACUCUGAAGGUGUACGCAGACUAGAGGAAUGUCUUCUACUAAUACUGCAUCUAUAUAAAAUGGCUGGAACAUACAGAGCAGAAGAGAGCUAACUGUCCCUUUGAUGCUGUAAAUGAUGACAGUGAAGAAAUCAGAGUGGGUAUAGCUGUGAACAUGGGCCAUAAAAGGCUGCAGCCACUGCCGGGAGCUUACUUUAGAAACUCACAGGGCAGAUCUCCAAGAUCACAGUGUCUGCCAGGCAGAAGAUGGUGAAAGCAUGAAACAGCCACAACCUUCUUCCAUGAGGGCAUGAGGCAAGAUGGUUAGAGACCGCAGAUGGCAAGUACAUAUCCUAAAGUUAGCGUGGUGGGUCAGAACAUACAAAAAAAUCUGUAGAGGAUAAGUUUUUUAUGUUUCAUACAGAGGAUAGCAAUAGAAAUCACCUGAUUUCCUUAGGUGGGUAACUUUUAGGGGUGAUCGGGGCUUUUCUAGGUAAUAUGACGUAAGUUGAAUCUGCCUUCUCUGCCUUAGUGAAUAAAAAUGUCUGAUUACAAAUGUGAGCCCAGUAUGUAAAGCUCUGAUACAUUAUUGUAAACUAUUCUGCAAAAAAGCAUGCUUCUGCAAUGACCCCAUUAGAUUUACUUGAGACCACUUCUGGGAGUAAAUUUAAACAUAUGUGUACAUAUCUGUGCAAUCAGGGUCUAUACAUAAGAUGGCUGGUGAAGCACAAUAUAGCUAUGGGCACUGAUGUAUGAAUGCAAAUUUUCUUUGCUAAUGAAUAAUUCUCCUGAUAAAAGAGAAAGAUAAGGGUCACUUAGUAAGCAUACCUGCACCUUUUUUUCAUGAGUUGUUCUGCAUUCUGUUAUACCUAGUACUAAUUUUUCUCUGUACUGCCUGAAAACAGAGCAAUUAAUUUAUGGUGAUUUCAAUUACCAUUUCCCUCACUGACUAGACUUAAAACACAGUAUCAGGUCAGUACAUAGUAGGGAAACUGCAAUUUUCUUUGGGCCUCUGUGGUAUUCAGACAGCUGGUGUAGGUUCAUUAGGAAAAUUAGAAAGAAAAAAAACGCACAAACAGAAAACAAAUGGAAUGUGUGGCAAUAUGAAGGCACACAAUAUUUCUCCUUCCUUUUUUUGGGUGAGAUAGCUGCCCUCCAUUUUCCAGUCUGCUAACUCUUUCAAUUCCAUUGCAGCAACUGCAAUAUUCUAAGUUUUAACAAUAGCUGCUGAAAUAGUAUAGCAUAAAAUCACUAGCAAAGAUCAGGACUACAAAACCUCUAAAAGAUUCUCCAGAAUGUAAACACCUUGUCAGAAUGUCAAAGUGUAUGCCCCUCAGCAUCAGCUGCUUACCUGAUAAUAUAUUUCAGCUUUGAGGAGAUAAAGGUGAUCCUCUUGAAAUAAAAUAAAUUGUAUAAUUCACUGACAUUACUACAUAUCCCCAAAGAGGUAAAAAGCUCUGAAAAAAAGAGAACAGUUAUAAGGACAUUCAUGGUCCUCACACUGAGAAUGCAUUUAUUGUGACAGACCAGUAGUCAUUUGUAUUGAGGACACAGCAAAGAGCAUCUGCCUGGCUGUGGAGACACCUGACAUAACCAGGACAUCCAAAGAAGUUUGCUGCAUGGCAGCACUUUAGACAUCUCCAGGAGAGAGAGCGGCAUUCAUUUGAAGCAGGCGGUAAGCGAGAGAUGUGUUCAUCUUCAUCAUGGCCCACUGGACAAGGCCCAGUGUGUGAACUCAGAAACAGACCUGACAAGUCCUUGCACAGGUAAAGCAGGAAGGAAUGCAAGCAUUUUUAUGUCCUUUCUGACCUUUUCAUACAUUUUUACAGACACAGACCUGGGCUGAAGAACUCUAUGUGACUGACUACAAAGCAUACACAGCAAACCCCACACAAUUAUGAGUUUGAUCUCGAGAUGAAAUUGGAGGAGCUAGGAUCUGUGUGUGUAUAUAUCUUUGCGCACAGUGGGGACUUCAUCUCUGUAUGUUAUGGGAGAGCUGGCCCUAAAACUGGUAAAAAUUUCACUGAGGCUCAAACAUAACAAAGCCAAAUCAGACCAUUAUUUAUUGUUUGCAAGAAUGGCUGUGGUAUUAAGAUGUCAAAUUCAGUGAAAUUUAAAAAGUUACAAAGUAAUGAGUUUAAAGCACUCUUUUUAAAAAGGAUUAAAGACGUUCCAAAGCAAAGCCUGCAGUCCCCCAUCUCUUGUAAUGGAAUGGCAGCAAGACUAGCCACCCUUAACCUUCCUCUCAUUCACUAAGUCUCACGCUGUGGCUAUAGACAAUUGCUCCAAGGCUGAAUUUAUGUCAGAUAAGUUCUGAGCCCAUUAAUGAUUCGGGCUUUGAUUUGUGAAAUAGAGGUGCCCCUGGGAUCUUUAAUCUAUCUGUAAAAAGCUUUUUGUAAGUUUUCUGAAAUGUCAUGUAGGAAAUCCAUGUACAGAGGGACCAGAUUAUGACCCAAUUACCAGCUGUGCUAAUCCAGAGUGAUUUCACUAAGUUCAGUGGAGAUGAUGAAGAUUUAAAAGAAUGUCAGCUUGGAUCAGAACUUAGCUUCUUGUCUCCUGUUCUAGCUUGAGAUCUAAAUAUUCCAGUUGAAAUUUUAAUUAUAUGUUCUUUGUUAUUGUUGUUGUUGUUGCAUAUGCAAGGCACUAGAAAAAUAAAUCUUUCCUUGUUUUAUA